GUCGACGGCCAUGCCGCCCUGAACAAGCCGGAUGUCUGAUCUCAGAAGCUAAGCAGGGUCGGGCCUGGUCAGUACUUGGAUGAGAGGCCACCUAGGAAGACGAGGUGCUGUAGGCU
rnacentral:rRNA from 1 species